UGCAAGUCGAGCGGUAGCACAGGGAGCUUGCUCCUGGGUGACGAGCGGGGGACGGGUGAGUAAUGUGUGGGAAACUGCCUGAUGGAGGGGGAUAACUACUGGAAACGGUGGCUAAUACCGCAUAACGUCGCAAGACCCAAGAGGGGGACCUUCGGGCCUCUUGCCAUCUGAUGUGCCCACAUGGGAUUAGCUAUUAGGUGGGGUAAUGGGUCACCUAUGCGACAAUCCCUAUCUGGGCUGAGAGGAUGACCACCCACACUGGAACUGAGACACGGUCCACACUCCUACGGGAGGCGGCAGUGGGGAAUAUUGCACAAUGGGCGCAAGCCUGAUGCACCCAUGCCGCGUGUAUGAAAAAAGCCUUCGGGUUGUAAAGUACUUUCAGCGAGGAGGAAGGCGUUGUGGUUAAUAACCGCAGUGAUUGACGUUACUCUCAGAAAAAACACCGGCUAACUCCGUGCCACCAGCCGCGGUAAUACGGAGGGGGCAAGCGUUAAUCGGAAUUACUGGGCGUAAAGCGCACGCACGCGGUCUGUCAAGUCGGAUGUGAAAUCCCCGGGCUCAACCUGGGAACUGCAUUCUAAACUGGCAGGCUAUAGUCUUGUAUAGGGGGGUAGAAUUCCA
rnacentral:rRNA from 1 species